CGCUAUCACUCCUACGGGGAGGCAACAGUAGGGAAUCUUCCACAAUGGGCGCAAGCCUGAUGGAGCAACACCGCGUGAGUGAAGAAGGGUUUCGGCUCGUAAAGCUCUGUUGUUUAAAGAAGAACACGUAUGAGAGUAACUGUUCAUACGUUGACGGUAUUUAACCAGAAAGUCACGGCUAACUACGUGCCAGCAGCCGCGGUAAUACGUAGGUGGCAAGCGUUAUCCGGAUUUAUUGGGCGUAAAGAGAGUGCAGGCGGUUUUCUAAGUCUGAUGUGAAAGCCUUCGGCUUAACCGGAGAAGUGCAUCGGAAACUGGAUAACUUGAGUGCAGAAGAGGGUAGUGGAACUCCAUGUGUAGCGGUGGAAUGCGUAGAUAUAUGGAAGAACACCAGUGGCGAAGGCGGCUACCUGGUCUGCAACUGACGCUGAGACUCGAAAGCAUGGGUAGCGAACAGGAUUAGAUACCCUGGUAG
rnacentral:rRNA from 1 species